rnacentral:lncRNA from 1 species
AAGAAUGCAUAGUAGACGACCAUCAGGAUGAAAGUGUAGGGUCCAAAGUGGAAACACUGAGAGUUCAGUUAGCAGAUUUGUUCAAGACGGUAGAAAGGUGUCAGAAUAAUCUUUCCAAGUGCACUCCUCAUGAAGCAGGAAUACGGGCCCGAAGCUUCUUCCCCGGUAUCAGGGUGUCGUUACAGGAUAUGCUACAAAGUUUAAAUGGGAGAAAGAGAACUUCAGAGGCAGGUCCAU